rnacentral:sRNA from 26 species
GUCAAUGGUAACACCUUACUGAAGUAAGAGACCUGAAGCGCAAGCUUCAGGUCUCUUAUCUUUAGCAGGGAAGCUGGGGAAAUCCAGCUUUCAUUGUCUAGACUAAGCAAUCCAGUCGGCUUCGGCCAACAGGAUUGCUACGUUAUCCAUGUAUCACACCCAAGGAUGAUGCCCAAAUCUUUGGCUCUGUG